rnacentral:rRNA from 1 species
AGUGAACGCUGGCGGUAGGCCUAACACAUGCAAGUCGAACGGCAGCACAGUAAGAGCUUGCUCUUACGGGUGGCGAGUGGCGGACGGGUGAGGAAUACAUCGGAAUCUACUUUUUCGUGGGGGAUAACGUAGGGAAACUUACGCUAAUACCGCAUACGACCUACGGGUGAAAGCAGGGGAUCUUCGGACCUUGCGCGAUUGAAUGAGCCGAUGUCGGAUUAGCUAGUUGGCGGGGUAAAGGCCCACCAAGGCGACGAUCCGUAGCUGGUCUGAGAGGAUGAUCAGCCACACUGGAACUGGAACACGGUCCAGACUCCUACGGGAGGCAGCAGUGGGGAAUAUUGGACAAUGGGCGCAAGCCUGAUCCAGCCAUCCCGCGUGGGUGAAGGAGGCCUUCGGGUUGUAAAGCCCUUUUGUUGGGAAAGAAAAGCAGCAGGUUAAUACCCCGCUGUUCUGACGGUACCCAAAGAAUAAGCACCGGCUAACUUCGUG